GAUGUUGGGUUAAGUCCCGUAACGAGCGCAACCCCUAUCCCUAGUUGCUAGCAGUUCGGCUGAGAACUCUAGGGAGACUGCCGGUGACAAACCGGAGGAAGGUGGGGAUGACGUCAGGUCAUCAUGGCCCUUACGGCCAGGGCUACACACGUGCUACAAUGGUGCGCACAGAGGGCUGCAAACCCGCGAGGGGGAGCCAAUCUCACAAAACGCAUCGUAGUCCGGAUCGCAGUCUGCAACUCGACUGCGUGAAGUCGGAAUCGCUAGUAAUCGUGAAUCAGAAUGUCACGGUGAAUACGUUCCCGGGCCUUGUACACACCGCCCGUCACACCAUGGGAGUGGAUUGCACCAGAAGUGGUUAGUCUAA
rnacentral:rRNA from 16 species